rnacentral:rRNA from 1 species
AGAGUUUGAUCCUGGCUCAGGACGAACGCUGGCGGCGCGCUUAACACAUGCAAGUCGAGCGAUGAAAUUUUGACAGAUCCCUUCGGGGUGAAGACAAAAUGGAUUAGCGGCGGACGGGUGAGUAACACGUGAGUAACCUGCCUUAGACAUUGGGAUAGCCUCGGGAAACCGGGAUUAAUACCGAAUAAAAUCAUAGGUGCACAUGCACUAAUGAUCAAAACUCCGGUGGUCUAAGAUGGACUCGCGUCCCAUUAGCUAGUUGGUGAGGUAACGGCCCACCAAGGCGACGAUGGGUAGCCGGCCUGAGAGGGUGAACGGCCACAUUGGAACUGAGAAACGGUCCAAACUCCUACGGGAGGCAGCAGUGGGGAAUAUUGCACAAUGGAGGGAACUCUGAUGCAGCGACGCCGCGUGAACGAAGAAGGCUUUCGAGUCGUAAAGUUCUUUUAUAUGGGAAGAUAAUGACGGUACCAUAAGAAAAAGCCCCGGCUAACUACGUGCCAGCAGCCGCGGUAAUACGUAGGGGGCUAGCGUUGUCCGGAAUCACUGGGCGUAAAGGGUUCGCAGGCGGAAAUGCAAGUCAGGUGUAAAAGGCAGUAGCUUAACUACUGUAAGCAUUUGAAACUGCAUAUCUUGAGAAGAGUAGAGGUAAGUGGAAUUUUUAGUGUAGCGGUGAAAUGCGUAGAUAUUAAAAAGAAUACCGGUGGCGAAGGCGACUUACUGGGCUCAUUCUGACGCUGAGGAACGAAAGCGUGGGUAGCAAACAGGAUUAGAUACCCUGGUAGUCCACGCUGUAAACGAUGAGUGCUAGGUGUCGGCGUAAGUCGGUGCCGCAGUUAACACAAUAAGCACUCCGCCUGGGGAGUACGUGCGCAAGCAUGAAACUCAAAGGAAUUGACGGGGACCCGCACAAGCAGCGGAGCAUGUGGUUUAAUUCGAAGCAACGCGAAGAACCUUACCAGGGCUUGACAUAUAAGAGACGAACUUAGAGAUAAGUUUUCUUCUUCGGAAGCCCUUAUACAGGUGGUGCAUGGUUGUCGUCAGCUCGUGUCGUGAGAUGUUGGGUUAAGUCCCGCAACGAGCGCAACC